rnacentral:tRNA from 1 species
GGGCGAGUGGCGGAACUGGCAGACGCGUGCGACUCAAAAUCGCAUUCUAGCAAUAGAGUGAGGGUUCAAGUCCCUCCUCGCCCACCA